rnacentral:rRNA from 1 species
GUUGGCGGCACGCCUAAUACAUGCAAGUCGAACGAGAAAGCACUUCGGUGUGAGUACAGUGGCGGACGGGUGAGUAACGCGUAGGAAUCUACCUAGUAGUGGGGGACAACUCGGGGAAACUCGAGCUAAUACCGCAUACGCUCUAAGGAGGAAAGUGGGGGACCUUUGGGCCUCACGCUACUAGAGGAGCCUGCGUUAGAUUAGCUAGUUGGUGAGGUAAAGGCUCACCAAGGCUACGAUCUAUAGCUGGUCUGAGAGGACGAUCAGCCACACUGGAACUGAGACACGGUCCAGACUCCUACGGGAGGCAGCAGUAGGGAAUCUUGGGCAAUGGGCGAAAGCCUGACCCAGCGAUGCCGCGUGUGCGAAGAAGGCCUUAGGGUUGUAAAGCACUUUCAGUUGCGAAGAAAAGCUGCGAUUUAAUACAUCGCGGUCUUGACGUUAACAACAGAAGAAGUACCGGCUAACUCCGUGCCAGCAGCCGCGGUAAUACGGAGGGUACGAACGUUAAUCGGAAUUACUGGGCGUAAAGCGCGCGUAGGCGGUUCGAUAAGUGGGAUGUGAAAGCCCCGGGCUCAACCUGGGAACUGCAUUCCAAACUGUCAGACUAGAGUGUGGUAGAGGGAGGUAGAAUUUCCUGUGUAGCGGUGAAAUGCGUAGAUAUAGGAAGGAAUACCGAUGGCGAAGGCAGCCUCCUGGACCAACACUGACGCUGAGGUGCGAAAGCGUGGGGAGCAAACAGGAUUAGAUACCCUGGUAGUCCACGCCGUAAACGAUGAGAACUAGCCGUUGGGGCCUUUAAGGCUUUGGUGGCGCAGCUAACGCGAUAAGUUCUCCGCCUGGGGAGUACGGCCGCAAG